UCCCCAUACCACUGGGGUACCUAUAAGAAUAAUGCGCCCUCUUGGCGCUAGACUGCGCCCUCACUGGCGCUAGGGCACCCCACCCCUAUGGGGUCCCUAUGAGGCCUCCUCCAACCCCUACAGCCUCACCCAAGCCUCCGGUUGUAAUACAAACACUAACCAAACAAAACACAAGCCUCCUGGCUGUAACUUAACUUAAGGCCGCCUGGCUGCAACAACAUAGCUCUUGUGCCACAGAGCCACCAUCCUUCGGCCUGCUCGAGCAGUACUCGCAUCUUAGCCCCGUGAGCUCCUGCCUCUCUGGCUGCUGGCACGGAAAUGCCAGCCUGACCUCAGCCCUGGGCUUUAUGAGGGCCAGGCCCUGCCCCCUUCUGGCCAGCUGACUCUUAUCAGUUGCCCUGGCAACCUGCAGCUGUGCUCAUUACCUCCGCUGGGCUCCUUAUGUACUGUCAGAGCUUCUCCUCUGGCAGCUUUCCCCUCUCUAGGAGCAGGAGCACCGAGGUGCCCUGCGACACACAUAAACUGGUUUAAGUGAUCAGAAACUGCUUUAAACCUGUAACAGAACAUAUGUUCAGUGCACAUAAACCGAUUUGAAAAUGGCUGAAACUGGUUUGAGAUAAACCUGGUUGAAUGUAGCAUCAGACCUUGCUGAUUUGGUUUAAGCUGGUUUAUGCAAAGCCUGUCUCAGACCCCUUGCUGGUUGAAGUUAAAUCAGAGUCCCCCAGCAUCCCAGCAUGCUCUAUGGGCUGGACAGGGCCCUCUGCUCCCUAGCUGCAGCUCCAGCAGAGACUUGCAGGCACAGCAGCAUCUGCCUGGCUUCCUCCUGCUCUCCCUCUCCCCUCACCACUCCCUGCUAAGCAGGGAUCCCCAUCCCUUCUGCCUUACCUAGACACCUCAGCAUUAGUAGCAGACAGCAGUGUUGGCUUAGGGCUUUUUGGAACUAAUCAACAGUUCAGCUGGUAAUGUCCCACCAUUCCUUCUUUGUUUAAGAAGAGCUUGAACCAAUGAAAGAGGCUGUUUUUCCUGAUAGGGUGAUAAAUGCUGAUAACAGAGCUGAUAAAUUCUCUGUUAUCAAGGAGGAAGGGGAAAUCCUCCCUAAUCCUGCCGGAGCCUGGCUACACUCCCUUCAGCUCAGCUGUGUGGAAGGGAAGGGAGGGCUGCUUUAGCACCCCUGAGCUUCUAGCCUGAGCCACUUCAGACAUGUGUCUGCAUGCCUGGAAUGUCUGUGCAGUUAAAAACUGAUGUAGCCUAGCCAGGUUAGACUAACCUGCAAAGAUUGAAUCAAUUCAGGCUCAGGCUUUUUGAACAUCUAUCCCUAGCCCAGGAAACUCCUGAGAAUCACCCGGGAGAUAGAACAUCCAUUAAAAUAAAUAUUAAAUGUGAAAUCCAAUUUAUACAGUAGUCCAGUGGGUUUUUAAAAUGUAGUAGUGAUGUGCAUUUGCCUUCCUGAUGUAAAGUCUACUCAGUAUAGUAGAUCAGUCAUUAAUGUCAUUACGUCAUGUGAUGAAACCUCCCAUAAUAGAUUCAAAUAGAGUUGGCAGCCCUAGUUGCAAACCAGCCUACAGCAAGAAAAGGUUGACAACCCCUGCUUUAGAGGAUGAAUAUAUCAAACAUGGUUAUAGCCUCUUGGUCAUCAACAGUCACAGGUUUGGGAAUGCGGUGGACCUCAGGUUACAUCUCCAACAAUUAAGUUUAAUAGCCCCUGAUGGACCUAAAAAUGUCAAAGGGAUAUUAUAAAGAAGGUGAUGAUCAAUUAUUUUCCGUGUUCAACAGGGCCAGGCCAAAAUAAUGAGCUUAAAUUGCAGCUGGGGGGAUUCUUGUUAACACAGGCAUUAUUUUUAGAUUGAAUACUCACAAGUUCAAUUCCAUUUUAUUUGUACUAGAUCAAAAUAUAUUUUUCUGAUUAUUUGUUAUCUAUGUCAAUAUUAUUUGCAUUAUGUCCUUUGACUCAUGUUGAAUAAUAUCUCUGUCUACAAGAUAUUCUCCUGGCAUUGUUUCACUCCAGGACCUACUUGUACACCAUGUUAGUUGUAUUAUGGUAAUAUUACAAGGGGCUCAUGAAGCAUUUUGAUUUCUAUAAAUACCUAAUAAUCAAAAACUAAUUGACAUGUCAAAUUACCAGUCAUUUAUCUGAAAAUCAUUUAUAAUAACAUGCAAGGGGAUAGAGUUAGUAUUGCUGUUCCUUUCUUGUAUUUCUUGGAUCAUCACCAUUUUUCUUGGUGCACUCACCUCCUUCUCCCCCAUAAUCAACUUUCAUGGGAUGUUCAUAAGACGCAUGCCAUGAGAAACAUAAAUAUGUUGGUAGAUAACACAAUUCUAUCUUGGAACCAAGUAACAACAUUCUGAUGCAAUGUCUGUAAAGCAACCAGAACAUAGGACCAAUUCAGGGCUGCAUGCCAAUGGUCUGGACUGAGUGAGUGUACAUGGAUGGCUUGACAGCCAGGGUCAGGAAGCAAACCAGGUUCAGAAGACUGGAGCAGAAGCCCAAGAAAUAGGCAGACAUCAGGGACAGAAGAUGGAGGGAAACCAGGUGCGUGUGAGGAAAGAAGCAAGAAAUGGGAAGGCCAGCCAGGCAAUGGGGGGGACAAGAACUGACAAAACUGAGUCCUGCAGUCAAAUAUGGACCUAAAUAGCUGUGAGCAAUUUCUAGCUUUUAAAACUGCUCCACAAAACUGUGGAGGCUAGCUCACCUAGGCAUUAUGUCAUUGGCUCCUGCUGGGGCAGACUUAGCCGAAAUUGGCUAUGAAGUAGUCCUGAAACAUUUUUUUUAAAUGCACCACAAUUUUAAGAAAUAACCACAACUUCCAAGUCUUUUCAGGUGACUCAGCUGAACUGAGAAACUGAUAACCUAAAUUGUAGAUUUCUGGGAAUACCUACAUCAGCAGAGUGACAUUUACUUUGAAUUGGUUCAUGUACCAUGGAGUUACCAUCUGCAGUUUUCAGAAGAAUAUGCACCUAGCAAGGAUAUGUUACUCAUUGCUGGCUUGUGUUAUACUGGUGCAGUACCAGCACCACACACUUUCCCAACAAUAGCAACCCUUCUUCAGAUGGUCAUCUUUCCACUUCCAGAUCUGUUUAAUGAAAAUAAUGUAAAAAAGUAUCAGCAUUGCCAGUAUGGUAAAAUAUAUUAACUGAGCACUACAAAAUAAAAUUAAUUAAAUAAUGGUUACUUUUGUUUACUGCAGGACUUGGAGGACAAGAACUAGUAUAACUAAAUGCAUGGACUUCUCAUGUCCUGUUCACUUUAUACACAAGACAUUGCAUCACAGUGCUAUUAUUUUGUGCCAGAUUAGAAUCAUGGUAUUUUACAACACGUUUGUGUCUCCCAGGGCUUAGUGACUUAUGGAUAUCCUGUGAAAGAAGAGGCUACUUAGGAUUGUGGCUUCUCCUGGAAAGAAAGCACAGGUUCAUAAGUAACGUUAAAAACAGAGGUAACGAUGAACAGAGAAGGACAAGCUUAUGGGAGAGAUGACGUUCUUAUGAACAGAAAACAAGGCUGGCCCCUGAAAGAGGGAGUGAAUCAGUGAUUGAAUGUGUAACAAGGUAGCACACAGCAAUUAACACCUGGGAAGCUGCAGAUCAACCAAUGGAAGAACUCAAUAGAAGACAAUGUAACAACCUGGGAAAUCUCUAAACGUCACUGAUCAAGGGCUAGAAGCCCUGGCCUGAGUUAAUGAACCCCGGGGACCAACUUUUGGGCUGAGUAUCUCCAGAUCAACUGCUCCCAGAGCCCUAUUCAAAAUUCAUCAACGGACUCCCAAACCUGCACGUACAUGCGGACGACCCCUGGGGCUGACAGAUGCUGUCCAGUAGCCAGCAAGGGGGGGAAAGUCCCACGAGGGUCAAUGACCCCUGGAUUGGGCAAACCUGAAAACUGGGGAGUCACCAAAGUGUGCCAGGGACAGAUAAAAGGCAGUGAAAAGUGACCCUCAGUGGCACCUUCUUGAUCUCCAACUUGACCAGACCUGUCCAGCCAGAAGGACCAGCCGGCGACCCCCUUCUGGAAGAUAACACCACACUGAAAGAGGCCUCAACAACAGACUCCAGCGCUUGUAGGAUAGGUAUACCUGACUCUGUAGCCUGCUACUGUGUGUGUGUGGGGGGGGGGGGGACCAGCCCCAAGGUUUAUGAUUACAGUGUUUCAAUCCGCCUAAUAAACUAGAAUUUUAAGGA